ACUUCAUGAUGAAUGUAAAAUGACAAGCAUAUGCCUGAACUCAAGUGAUGUCAUCUUACUACUGAGAAGU
ensembl:snoRNA SNORD27 Small nucleolar RNA SNORD27